rnacentral:rRNA from 1 species
UUGGAGGGCAAGUCUGGUGCCAGCAGCCGCGGUAAUUCCAGCUCCAAUGGCGUAUAUUAAAGUUGUUGCAGUUAAAAAGCUCGUAGUUGAAUUUCGGGGUUCUACCGUUGGUCGGGCUAUUGUCUGUACUGGCGUGUAGAAUUUCUACCUUCUGGGGAACUAUCAUGUUAUUAAUUUAGCGUGGUAGGAAACCAGGACCUUUACCUUGAAAAAAUUAGAGUGUUCAAAGCAGGCUUAUGUCUGAAUACAUUAGCAUGGAAUAAUAAAAUAGGACGGUGGUCCUGUUUUGUUGGUUUCUGAAUCACCGUAAUGAUUAAUAGGGAUAGUUGGGGGCAUUAGUAUUCAAUUGUCAGAGGUGAAAUUCUUGGAUUUAUUGAAGACUAACUACUGCGAAAGCAUUUGCCAAGGAUGUUUUCAUUAAUCAAGAACGAAAGUUAGGGGAUCGAAGACGAUCAGAUACCGUCGUAGUCUUAACCAUAAACUAUGCCGACUAAGGAUCGGACGAUGUUAACUUUUCUUGACUCGUUCGGCGCCUUACGGGAAA